rnacentral:rRNA from 1 species
UACAGAGGUCUCAAGCGUUGUUCGGAAUCACUGGGCGUAGAGGGUGCGUAGGCUGCACGGUAAGUCAGAGGUGAAAUCCCGGAGCUCAACUUCGGAAUUGCCUCCGAUACUGCCGUGCUUGAGGACUGGAGAGGAGUCUGGAAUUCACAGUGGAGCAGUGAAAUGCGUAGAUAUUGUGAGGAACACUAGUGGCGAAGGCGAGACUCUGGACAGUUCCUGACGCUGAGGCACGAAGGCCAGGGGAGCAAACGGG